AUUGAACGCUGGCGGAAUGCUUUACACAUGCAAGUCGAGCGGCAGUGCGGCCUUCGGGCUGGCGGCGAGCGGCGAACGGGUGAGUAAUGCAUCGGAACAUGCCCAGUCGUGGGGGAUAACACUUCGAAAGAAGUGCUAAUACCGCAUACGUCCUGAGGGGGAAAGCGGGGGAUCGCAAGACCUCGCGCGAUUGGAGUGGCCGAUGUCAGAUUAGCUAGUUGGUGGGGUAAAGGCCUACCAAGGCGACGAUCUGUAGCUGGUCUGAGAGGAUGAUCAGCCACACUGGGACUGAGACACGGCCCAGACUCCUACGGGAGGCAGCAGUGGGGAAUUUUGGACAAUGGGGGCAACCCUGAUCCAGCCAUUCCGCGUGAGUGAAGAAGGCCUUCGGGUUGUAAAGCUCUUUCGGCAGGAACGAAACGGUGGGCUCUAACAUAGUCCGCUAAUGACGGUACCUGAAGAAGAAGCACCGGCUAACUACGUG
rnacentral:rRNA from 1 species